UACAGAGGUCCCAAGCGUUGUUCGGAUUCAUUGGGCGUAAAGGGUGCGUAGGCGGCGCGGUAAGUCGGGUGUGAAAUCUCGGGGCUUAACUCCGAAACUGCAUUCGAUACUGCCGUGCUUGAGGACUGGAGAGGAGACUGGAAUUUACGGCGUAGCGGUGAAAUGCGUAGAUAUCGUAAGGAAGACCAGUGGCGAAGGCGGGUCUCUGGACAGUUCCUGACGCUGAGGCACGAAGGCCAGGGGAGCAAACGGG
rnacentral:rRNA from 1 species